GAUGAACGCUAGCGGCAGGCUUAAUACAUGCAAGUCGAGGGGCAGCAUGAUUGUAGCAAUACAAUUGAUGGCGACCGGCAAACGGGUGCGGAACACGUACACAACCUCCCAAUAAGUGGGGAAUAGCCCAGAGAAAUUUGGAUUAAUACCCCGUAACAUAACGAUGUGGCAUCACAUUGUUAUUAUAGAUUUUUCGCUUAUUGAUGGGUGUGCGGCUGAUUAGAUAGUUGGCGGGGUAACGGCCCACCAAGUCUACGAUCAGUAGCUGAUGUGAGGGCAUGGUCAGCCAGACAGGCACUGAGACACGGGCCCGACUCCUACGGGAGGCAGCAGUAAGGAAUAUUGGACAAUAGACGCAAGUCUGAUCCAGCCAUGCCGCGUGAAGGAUUAAGGUCCUCUGGAUUGUAAACUUCUUUUAUAAGGGACGAAAAAAGGCUUUUCUAAGUCGUCUGACGGUACCUUAUGAAUAAGCACCGGCUAACUCCGUGCCAGCCGCCGCCGUAACAC
rnacentral:rRNA from 1 species